AAAUCGAGUCAAAUUUUACCUCAAAUUGGAGAUUUCAACCCCGAGAUCUAUUCUACCCAAACUCGAUGGUUUUCCCAAUGAGUUUUUGGAGUUGGGAUCGAUUAACUGACUAUUUUUUGUUGUCGUUUCAACAUUUUGGGAUGGGAUAGGACUGACAGCUUCAUCGGAGCUUUGGAAAGCUUAGGGGUAGCAAGAAUCGAGAAUGCGACUGGCGGCGAUGAAGUUUUCUGGUGAAAACUUAUUUAAAUUUCCUUUCGCAUAUUUCUUCCUUAUUAGUUCUCUAAUCUCUCCCUCCCUGAUCUCUGUUUUUCUCAAAUCUCUUCCAUCCCGAUCUCAUUCUCUCUCUCUCUCCUUUUAAUUUCACUUUCUUUCUUGAUCAAAAUUAUGUGUGUCUGUGUAUUUUUUUAAGAGAAGGAAAAAAAAUAGAGAUCCGUCUUGUGUUCUCUCUCCAUUUCUAUACGUAUAUGAUAUGCUAUCUUGAAGCAAUAAAGUGAGGUGAGUGUGUACGUGUGUGGUGGAAGAAGACAAAGGUGUGGAGAAGAAACUAUGUGUUGUGUGCGUAUUCAGUGAAGUCCCCAAAAAAGAAUCAGCCGUGGUGUCUUUAUUGUGGAAGAAUGGAGUCAAUCCGUGGGCCCCCUAGUAUGCUAAUAUCAUGGUGAGGUCCAUUUUUUAUAGCAUGUGUAUUGUGUCAAAAUAGAAAUUCCCAUGGGUUCCAUGUAUGAAUGUGAGGUGUUAAUAUUCUAUGAUGGAUGGAAAAUUCCAUGAUGAAUGAAAUUGGGAGUCUUUUUUAUGUGGGUCCCCUUGUAUUGUGUUCUCUUCCCCUUUGGUAAAGGCCAAAACCGUGUAAAAUAAAUAUGGGGGGUGGGGUCAUAUGGGUAGGUGGGGUAGGAGGGUAUUAGGGUGUGAGUGGUUAAGGGAUGAGAUAAAAUUUGUUAUUAAUUUGUUGAGAGUUGGUUGCUAUUUUUGUCAUUUUGUGGAGGGAUAAUUACACGGUUGAGGGUACACGGUAGGAGAAGAUAAAAUGAGUAAAAGUGAUCUUUCGGAGGGACAAAAUUACAUGUCUACAUCAUGCCCCCAUUGGAUGUAAACACAAAGUGUUUUCAGACAAAGAAGUAGACAACGAGAUCAAAUUUUGACCCGAUCAUUAUUCAAAGAAAGAAACAGAAGAAAGAAAGGAAAUCGGGUCUAGACUUAGGACGUCCUACCUACCCAAGUUAUGAGGGAAUCAAGUCAUGGGUAUCUCAAAGGAUUGGAAAGAGAAGGACUAUACUGAGUUGGAAAGUCGAGUGAGGUUCCAUCGAGGUUCCGGUCCGCAGCUCUGUCAUUACAUCAAAAUGAAAAUUACAAAUUAAAAACAUAAAAGAAAUUACCAAAACUCUAUCUAUGCAGCUUUCCUUGACUUUUGACUCGCUACUUCAUCACCCUAUUCUUCAGGCGGGCUCUUGACUUGCAAUUUCUUCACUUGUUGCUUGGUUUUAAAUGUUUUCACCCUGUUCUUCAGGCAGGUUCCUGACUUGCUAUUUUUCAAUCUGUUGACUUUCAAUUUCUUCGCCUUGUUUCUUGACUUUCAACUUCUUCACUAUGUUACUUGACUUCUUAUUUAUUCGCCCUGUUCUUCAGGCGGGCUUCUUAAAUCACAUCAAAACUAAAAAGAAAAUCCCAAACAAAGAUUAUUAUAAAGGACUUUUGUGAAAGUCACAUCAUUGUAAGAAUCAAGGAGAAUGACUCGUCUAAAAGGUACGUCUUAUAGGAAUCAGGGGAAUGACUCGACUAAAAGGUACGUCUUAUAGGAAUCAAGGGGCAUGACUCGAGUAAAAGGUAUGUCUUAUAGGAACCAAAGGGGAUGACUCAACUAAAAGUUACGUCUUCUAGGGGUCAAGGGAAGUGACUCUAAUAAAAGGUACGUCUUAUAGGAAUUAAGAUGCGACUCGACUAAAAGGUACAUCUUCUAGGGGUCAAGGGGGAAUGACUCGACUAAAAGGUACGUCUUAUAGGAAUCAGGGGAAUGACUUGACUAAAAGGUAUGUCUUAUAGGAAUCAAGGAAAAUGACUCGACUAAAAGCACAUCUUCUAAGGGUCAAGGGAAAUGACUCGACUAAAAGGUAUGUAUUAUAGGAAUCAAAGGAGUGGCUCGACUAAAAGGUACCUCUUCUAGGGGUCAAGGGGAAUGACUCGACUAAAAGGUACAUUUUCUAAGGGUCAAGGGAAAUGAAUCGACUAAAAGGUAUGUCUUAUAGGAAUCACAGGAGUGACUCGACUAAAAGGUACGUCUUCUAGGGGUCAAGGAGGAAUGACUUGACUAAAAGGGACGUCUUAUAGGAAUCAGGGGAAUGACUCGACUAAAAGGUAUGUCUUAUAGGAAUCAAGGGGGAUGACUCAACUAAAAGGCAUGUCUUAUAGGAACCAAGGGGGAUGACUCGACUAAAGGUAUGUCUUAUAGGAAUCAAAGGAGAUAACUCGACUAAAAGGUACGUCUCCUAAGAGUGAAGGUUCAAUUUGAGAAGUGUAUCACCUAGCAAAUGAAAAAUUGAAAUCCCUGAACAAGUGUGUCUCCGAGGGAUAUAGGAUGAUAAAUUUUUACCAUGAUUUUAUUAUCAAACCUGUACAGCAACAUUGCUUUCUGCAUUUGUAAAAGUGAGGCAUUGCAACCCUUGAUGUUUAUGCUAUGAAGUUCUUUCUUUGAAGGUAGUAUGUUUCCUGUUUCAUCAAACAAAACUUGUGAGUUUGAAACAUGGUGGCUGAUUUGUGGCUUUAGCUUUCGCGGAGAUCGCCGUUUCCCUCAUCACAUUAAUCUUGCUUCCAACCAUUACAUAUAUCAUUGACUUGAUGCAUCAUUGACCUAAACUCAGAUCAUUAAGAGUGACUUUGAAACAAACACAGUAUCUUUGCAUUGCCAUGCUCUUCAGAUAAAUCCUUUAAACUUUGGUAUUUCCAUGAGUUCCCAGACUUGUCUGUUGACAAAACUUCUGCAUGCCCUUUUUCGGCUCACAAUCAUGUCUCUUUCAUAUGCUAGCUUUGUCUUGCUUUGUGCAAUUAAAGAAGCUAGUAGUCAGUUUUGAAAUCUUUUCUCACUUGUUUCGACAUGGACUUGACUCAAAGACUAGAGAAAAAAUGACAAUGAUUUUAUUUGGAUAACUGACUCAAUAAAAUAAAAAUAAAAAAUAAAGAAAAGACAAUGAAUGUCCCCAUUUGAAACAAAGAAACAAAAAAUUUAUCUAGAAAUAACAGUCAACUCUAAUGAUUAUGCCAUGCAUUUUGGAUUAAGCUGCCUGAUUUUUCCAUUCAAACUUUCUACCAAUUGUUGUUGAGUUAACUGGACUUAAAACUGAGUUGUUUCCUUAGGUCAAUUGCUUUUAAGACUUCAUUUGGCUAGUGACACCUUGAAAGGUUUUCGCCAACAAGCCUUCCUUAUUUUUUUCAGCUCACCAUUGUCUUACGGUGUUCGUUAGGCUUUUUCACCAAUGAGACUCUCUUAUUUUUAUUUCUCUCAACUCCCAGUCGUCUUAUAGUGUCCGUGAGGAUUUUCACUGAUAAGACUCUCUCAUUUUUAUCUCUCUCAACUUACCAUCAUCUUAUGUUGCUCGUGAGUGUUUUCACUAAUAAAACUCUCAUUUUUAUUUCUCUCUUGAUUACUUAUGCUGAGGAAGACAAGUAGUUCCCAAAUACAUCAUCAUGUCCCUUGCAUGCUUAGCCUUAACAUCCUCAAAGAUUGAUCUGAAGGUCUUUCUUUGGUUGUAAAUUGGAUUUCGGAAAGGAUUAGAAAGAAAGGAUGACAUGAGGCCCAAAUGACACUUGAAGUGGGGUGGGAUUUACAACUUUUGAAAUCGACUCAAACAAUGAGGAUCAACUCAUGCCCUAGUUUCUUUUGACUAGGCAAUACUAAAUUGUUUAUUGGUUAGACUGAGCUCAGAGUAGGGAAGCCUACGUAUCUCACCCCCAAGAGAGGAGAAUCAGGUCACGCUUAGUUCUGGUGGCUUGUUCUUUUGCUUGAUUUUGAUUUUUUAUUUUUUUCUUUUGUUGACUCUUCUAUUGACUUUUUUUUUCUUUCUGGGACCUUCUGACUCUAUUUUUUUCUUAACGCUCUUUUCUUUUCCUUCUUUUGGACACAUUUUUUCUCUCGUUUCUUUUUGAAACUUUCUAACUCUAUUAUUUUGCUCGACACUUUUAUUUUGAGCUUCGCUAACUCUAUCUUGAUUCCAAAAGAGGGGUAUGAAAGAAAAUAGGACUAAAGCUCAAAUGGGGUAAACAAAGGAUGACACGAUAUUUGGAUAGCAGAAUGAAAUGUCUUUGUCAUAUCAAUCCUUCAAAAUGCAAGUACAUAUCAUGCAAUAUGAAAGUGAGAGAUGAAGAUCAUUUGUGAUAUUUUUACAACACUAAUUUUAACUGAGACUGUACGUCGAUACUUCUUCUGCCAACUCCAUCUUUGUUGUACAUUCCUCAUGCUUUCGUGGAGCUAAUUUUUCUAUUCCUUUUGAUGUAGGAUCACACAUCCACUAUUUGACCUAAUUGAGACAUGUCUUUCAAAUGCUGACCAAGUUAUUCUCAAAAUAAUUGCCUUAAUUUUCAAAGAAGGCUUCAAUUUGAUCACCAAAUGCCCCAGCACUCUAUCUAUUUUCUCAGACGCUCUCUUUUUCUAACUUUAACCCUCUGAUUCAAUGCUCAUUCUUAAACUAGAUUUUAAGAUCUGACUGAAAAUUUUGCUAGCAUGUCAUAUCGCUAGAAUCAACAUAAAAUAUAUUGUAUAAAGAAAACAAACAAACGACACAUUUAAACACAAAGAAAAAGGGACAAUUCAUUUAGUUGAAAUAAAAGAUAGAAGGGUUUGAACAUAAACAACAAAAGGAAAAAACAAGAUAGAUCCCGAACUACAACCCUGAAAUAAUUCAAAAAAAUAGAAAAGAAAACAAAACAAACUACCAGACCUCUUCCUAGUAGGGAGAGGGGUGACUUCUCAAUUGCUCAGCCUGACAACUUAGCCACUGGUUUGCAUAUCAGCAUGACUAAAGCUUGCCUCACUGUCAAUGUUCUACACCAUAAUUGAUUCAUCUUGAAUCAUCUUUUCAAAUUCUUUUUUCAAAUCUCAACAAUCUUCAAUACUAUGACCCUGAGCAUCAGAAUGAUACCCACAUCAUACAUUAGGAUCAAAAUUUCUUGAACACCGAUUAAGAGUGCACCCAAGGAGAGGAGUGAUUAUGCCCCAUUGUACCAAUCUUUGAAAUAAACUGGCACUCUCUAAUUGGUGCAAAGAUAUCUCUUGACUUCUGCCUCAUUUCAUCGUUUAGCUUGGAUGAAAAAUCAGGCUUAGAAGGAUUUUAGUAUGUUUGUGGAGUUAGAGGACGACUCUGAGGAGUUAGUGCGUUCCACUAUGGGCAACAUGGGGGUUGAACAUAUGGCAGUGCAUUAUAUACUGGUUACGGAGGUGGAGGAGCAGAGUAUAAUGGAUUUUGGGAGUGAUUAUGUGGAGCUUGGGCAUGAACUUGGGUUUGAGCCUGAGAGUGACGACAAUGGGGUCUUCUUGACCUUCUUCGCCGUCCAACUACAAUAGAAAAUGCAUCUUCCUCAUUCUUUGUCACCCCAAUGCUUCCUGCACCCUUUUGAAUUGCUUGAGUAGUCGCUUUCAAUGUUGAAAAACUAACAAUGCGACCAAUCUUAAUUCCAUCCUCUAUCAUCUCUCCUAUUUUGAGGACCUCAAUGAAUGGCUUGCCUAAUAUAGGAAACAAGUGUUGAUAAUAUGUUUCAUCCUGCGCUUGAAUAAACACCUCCACUAUCUUUCUUUCUUUCAUUGGUGAUUUCGCCCUAGAUGCUUGUUCAUGCCAUCUGAUCGCAUACUCCCUGAAAUUCUCAGUAUUCUUCUUCUUCAUACUGGUUAAGGAUUUUUCAUCAGGAAUUAAUUCCACAUUAUAUUGAAAUUGUUGCACAUAUUCAUUAGCUAAAUCAUCCCAACUAUUCCACCUAUCAAUAUCCUGAUCAACAAACCACUCUGAGGCUAGACCCAAAAGACUCUCACCAAACAAAGUCAUGAGCAGUUCUUCUUUGACUUCAACAUCUCUUAGUUGGUUACAAUAACGUCUCAAAUGCACCGCCGGAUCCCCGCGUCCAUCAUACUUCUCAAACUUUGGAAUCUUAAAACCAAAAGGGAGAUGAAUACCUGGAAACAUGCACAGAUCUUUAUAUAAGACACUUUUGUACCCCCUAGGCCUUUGGAGAUUCCUCAUAGCCAGUUGAAAACUUCUCAAUUUUCUGGUCAUUUAUUCUUGUUCUUCUUUCAUAACAGGAUUUUCGGCAUUAAGAGCAAAUUCAGGUGGAUGAGUGUACCCAUAAGGAUCAGUCGACUUAAAUGUGAGCUCGGGAGCAUAAUGUUGAUCACUUGAAAUAUUCAAUACAGGGUUGCUUUUAGAGUGAGGAAUCACAACCUUUGGAUUGGCAUUAAAAGUAGGAGCUUCACGCGGGGGUGGCGCUGUAAAAGUAUGAACAACAUAUGGAGCCGAGUAAGUGGUAGUUUUGUGUUGAGGAGUGAGGAAAGGAAUAUUGGAAGUGUUUAAAUAGUGUUGCCCCGGUGUAGUCCCUAAUGCAUGUUGUGGCAUGUCAACAAAAAUGAAAAAUUGUGCAUAUGACACGGGAGGCAAGCUAGAAAUAUAUUCCAGAUUAUCAGUAGGAACUGGAGGAGGCGGCAACCCAUUAGACCAAGCUCGAUCCAUUUCUAUCAUUUGUUUCCUUAAUUUUCGAAUCUCUUCAUUAUCUCCUGAAUUCUCAUUCCCCGAAAUCCCUGUCGAAUUAGUGACAAUAAACUCGGUAUCCUUGUUGGCCAUAACUUUCUCUUUGACUUGGUGUAAUAUGGAGGACCAGCCAAAAUGCCACAAAUCAACCACCUUAAACAAACUGAACAAGAGAUAGUAAAUGUGUUAGAGUUCAACACUUUCUCAAAAUCUCUCCUUUUUUUUUAAAAGAUCACCGAACCCAAGAAGGGCGCUUACGUAUCUCACAUCCCAAAAUAGGAGAAUCAGGUGUGCGUAGUUCGUGAAAUUUGGCCACAAAAUGACCGAUCAACUCUCUUUCUUUUUCUCUUUUUUUUUUAAACUUUGAGAAGAAAAGAAAUAAUAAAUUGUCAAAAGAAUUGACGAAAAUCUUUUUUGUAUUUUACAAGUUAAAACUCCCUAUAAAAAAUGAAACCUAUGAUUACCAAAGAAAAAUCUUUUUGGUUUCGAUUUUUAAUAUCAUACGACAAUGGAACUUAAAAUUAUUAAAGAAAAAUCUUUUUGUAGCUUUUAAAGAUGUCUACGACACCUACUCUAAAUGAAGAGUGAAAAAAAAUAUUUUUUGAUUUUUGAAAUAAGAUCUACCAAAAAUGAAACCUACGACUAUUGAGGAAAAUCUUUUUUUUUUUUGUAUUUUUCUUUUCAAGACAUGUAUGAAACACCUACUCUAAAUGAAGAGUGAAGAAAAUCUUUUUGAAUUUUUAAAUAAGAUCCCCGAACCUAUAAUAGGCUGCCUACGUAUCUCACUCCCGAGAGAGGAGAAUCAGGGGUAUGUAGUUCGUCCAGAUUGGACAAUUAAUGAUUAAAUAACAGAUUGCACCCUGACUUGAGACACGACUAAGACACACGAUGAACAACAUAAAUUUUUUUUUUUUGAUUUUUCAAUUUGACACUUCAUAUAAAAACUGACACCAACAGCUAUGAAAGAAAUUUUUUUUGGUAUUUUUGUUAUAUGAAAUGUACAAAACUUCUACCACCUUUUUUUAGAAUUUUUCUUCUAUAAAAAGCUCCUGAAAAAAUCUUUUUGAAGUUUUCGAAUUGUGAAUGCUUGAUAAAGGAAACAAAAGGAAAAAAAAUUUUGAUCAUUUUUUUUUAUUUUUGAAAAUAUGAGUGCAAAAAGUAAAAAAAAAUUUUUUUUUUAAAUUUUUGAAUUGUGAAAAACAAAAGCCAUAAAGAUCCUAAAAAUUACAAAACUCUUUUUGAUUCACCUUUUCUCUUUUUUCCCUUUUUUUUUCAAUGCCUACACAUCUUUCUUUAAUUCUAGCACAUGCUUUCCCCAAAUCAGCCCGUCAAAUGACCACGUUACGCUUAGAGGUGCAACAUUUAGCACGUAGGGAUGUUUUAAAGGUGAGUCUCCUAUAAAGGACUGAGUGGGCCCCGCUAGGUCUCAAUAUGAUGCAGAUAAACAUGACCUAAAGGCUGACCUACGUUGUGGUUCACUAACAAGGCCAUUCGGGGGAGCAUAUGGUCGAUAGUGGCUGCUUUGCUUUCCACCUACUCCAUACAUCCAAUGGCUCCCCCUCCUAAAAUAAGGGUGACUCAACUAGAGUUUGUGAGCACGACGUGCACUCCGGGACUUGUUGCAGAAAGAUUGACUCGGGUUAUGCAUAUGAUGCCAGAUAUAAAGUGGUAACACAGAAGAGAAAAACUGUAAACACGUAACACUCAACAAUGAUAAAAUAAAUAACAAACGAUAACACAAACAAUGUUUAUACACCCAUAAUGUCAAACUAAGCCGAUACAACUCCAAAAAUAAGGUCGAAUUCUGAAAAAUUCCCAACAGAGUUGCCAGAGCUGUCACACCCCUUUUUUACCAAAAAAAAUUGAUCUUAAAGUUUGAAAGGGUUUUUAUUAAAGUGAUAAAAAAUGAAAAUUUUGUUUUGAAAGGUUUACACUUAAACUCAGAGCCGCCACUUGGCAUUGGGUAUGCCAAGUCACCUUUGGGAAUCCUUUUUCAAAACUGUUUGACUCUUUAAACUGGUUUGCGAAUAGAGACUCCGACUAAAGAAUUUUGUUGACCAAGGGAAAGGUGCUAGGCACCCCUCGAUCUCGUGGUUUGACCACGGUCUCUUGGUGGAGAGUAUCGGCUAAAAUAACAUUACAAAUGCAUAAACCACACAAAGAACGCAAAAACAAUCACUCAAGCAAACAAAACAAAAUAAUCCAAAAUAUAAUGUCCAGUCCAAUUAUUAUAAACCCAAAAUAAAAGGUACCGAAAUAAUCCUAUGCUAAUCCUAAAUGACCUUCAACACUUUACCCGAUGCCUCAGGCCUUGAUCACGAACGUCCUCCGGGUACAAAAUACUUCGGGACAUUCCCUAGAUAAAUCAAUACAAAUCUCUCGAGGCAUUCCCCAACCAAAUGAAUACAUUUUUAGUGCGAGAAAAUCAAACUAUUCAACAAAAUUUCAAACUUUCCACGGAAUUUCCAACAUCCAACCAAAGCCACAAAUUCUAAACUUUGCCUACACAACCUAUGUUUGCCUAUAUCAAUCGACCUAUCAUGAUACUAUCAAGUUCAAUUAACAUUAAUGAAUAAAAACAACAAUAUGCACUUUAUCAACUUUCAACUACCGUCCCAAUUUUAUUUACCUCAAACGAAUUCAAGUCAUUAUCAACCAAUUAAUCAAUUCAAGUGACCUAUUAAUCAACAUUCAUGAUCCGAACAACACCAAAUCAAAAAAAUCAAGAUCCACACAUUAUCAAUUCACCACAUAAGGUAUCAAACGAUAAAGAUUAAUCAAAAAUUGGGAUGAAAAAUAGACCUCAAUUUUAUUCCGAACACUUAGCAAUGGAUUCGGAGAUCACGAAUCCAGACCUCAAUUCAACGAACUCAACAUGGACCCAACAACUCGAUCAAACCCAAAGAAAUGAGCAUACCCAAAAGACCAACGAUUCAAACUAAAAUUUGCGGACUAUUUUGUUCCUCUACUUACUGGAGAUCACAAACUGGACCUCAUCGAACCUCAACCAAAUGGCCAAAAUUGAGUCAAAUUUUACCUCGAAUUGGAGAUUUCAACCCCGAGAUCUGUUCUACCCAAACCCGAUGGUUUUCCCGAUGAGUUUUUGGAGUUGGGAUCGAUUAAUCGACUAUUUUUUGUUGUUGUUUCAACAUUUUAGGAUGGGAUAGAACUGAUAGCUUCACCGAAGCUCUGGAAAGCUCAGAGGUAGCCGAAAUUGAGAACGUGACUAGCGGUGAUGAAGUUUUCCGAUGAAAACUCGUCUAAAUUUCCUUUCGCAUAUUUCUUCCUUGUUUUUUCUCUAAUCUCUCCCUCCCUGAUCUCUUUUUUUCUCAAAUAUCUCCCACCCCGAUCUCGUUCUCUCUCUUUCUCCAUUCGAUUUCACUUUCUUUCUCGAUUGAAAUUAUGUGUGUCUGUGUAUUCUUCUGAGAGUGAAGGAAAAAAUGGAGAUUUCUCUUGUGUUAUCUCUCCCUUUCUAUGCAUAAAUGAGGUGUUAUCGUGAAGGAAUAGAGUGAGGUGAGUGUGUACGUGUAUGGUGGAAGAAGACGAUGGUGCGGAGAAGAAACUGUGUGUUGUGUGCGUAUUCAGUGAAGUCCCCGAAAAAGAAUCAGUCGUGAUGUCUUUAUUGUGGAAGAAUGGAGUCAAUCAGUGGGCCCCCCUAGUAUGCUAAUAUCACGGUGAGGUCCAUUUUUGUAGCAUGUGUAUUGUGUAAAAAUUGAAAUUCCCAUGGGG
rnacentral:lncRNA from 1 species